GUUACAAUUCACCCAAAUCCCUAUCAGGGAUUGAAAC
rfam:Cylindrospermum stagnale PCC 7417, complete genome.